rnacentral:tRNA from 1 species
GGGGAUGUGGUCCAGCUUGGUAAGAUUCGAGGUUUGGGACUUCGCGACCCAGGUUCAAAUCCUGGCAUCCCCA